GGUUAGCUCAGCUGGAUAGAGCGCUGGCCUCCGAAGCCAGAGGUCACAGGUUCGAAUCCUGUAC
rnacentral:tRNA from 1 species